UUUCUCGACACCAUGGUGGAGGUGACGUAUAUUCUGCAGAACAACACGGCAGAUGGACAGACGGUGGAGCACCUGAUGACCAGACACAGUGAAAUCACUGAGGUCAUGUAUGUGGGCUCUCAGAAUGGAGUUUAACAUUUACAGCCUGUGAUGCACUCUCAAGGCAACCGAGUUCAGUUUA